AAACCAGCACCUCAAGUGGUCAGGAGGAUUAUUGGGCCUAAAGCAUCCGUAGCCUGUUCUGUAAGUUUUCGGUUAAAUCCAUUAGCUCAACUAAUGGGCCGCCGAAAAUACUGCAUAACUAGGGAGUGGGAGAGGUAGACGGUACUCGGUAGGAAGGGGUAAAAUCCUUUGAUCUAUUGAUGACCACCUGUGGCGAAGGCGGUCUACCAGAACACGUUCGACGGUGAGGGAUGAAAGCUGGGGGAGCAAACCGGAUUAGAAACCCGAGUAGUCC
rnacentral:rRNA from 1 species